UACAGGAGCGCAGCAGUGGGGAAUUUUGGACAAUGGAAAACCCUGAUCCAGCCAUCCGCGUGUGCGAUGAAGGCCUUCGGGUUGUAAAGCACUUUUGGCAGGGAAAGAAACGGCGCAGGAUAAUACCCGAUGCAACUGACGAACACCUGCAGAAUAAGCACCGGCUAACUACGUGCCAGCAGCCGCGAUAAUACGUAGGGUGCAAGCGUUAAUCGGAAUUACUGGGCGUAAAGCGUGCGCAGGCGGUUCGGAAAGAAGAUGUGAAAUCCCGGAAGCUUAACUUUGGAACUGCAUUUUUAACUACCGAGCUAGAGUGUGUCAGAGGGAGGUGGAAUUCCGCGUGUAGCAGUGAAAUGCGUAGAUAUGCGGAGGAACACCGAUGGCGAAGGCAGCCUCCUGGGAUAACACUGACGCUCAUGCACGAAAGCAUUAAGAAGAACCAAACAGGAUUAGAUACUGGCGUAGU
rnacentral:misc_RNA from 1 species